rnacentral:tRNA from 2 species
UCCUUCGUGGGACAACGGUUAGCCUUUCGCGUUUUCACCGCGGCGAUCCGGGUUCGAUUCCCGGCGGGGGAG